rnacentral:misc_RNA from 1 species
AAGUCGUAACAAGGUCUCCGUAGGUGAACCUGCGGAGGGAUCAUUAACACGUAAUCUCACGAUUACAAACCAAAAAACCACGUGCUUUCUGUCUUCUGUUUGAAGUAGGAUCGUGCAGCGAGAUGUUGGGCUAGAGCGCUCGCUGUCGGUCAUUCCAAACUACUUUGAGUAGAAGUAAAACUCAUUUUCCAAUUCUCUCUUGGCCUAAAACCCUUUAACCCCAACCACAAAAUUUUAUAUACAUCACUACUGAUUUAACUCAUUCUUGUCGAAAGGCUUGAGUGAAGGUUUUUUACGAAACCAAAGAACAACUCUUAGCAGUGGAUAUCUUGGCUCCCGU